UAAUCCCUGUGAUGUGCGUGAUGCUCUUGAGCGUUUUGAGCCAACACCUUUGUCAAGGGGACCGGCAUCCAGGCGUGAUCCUGUAGGACCUCUUGGGGAGGACCUCUGGGUCACCGGAAGGUUCCCACCUGCGCUUGCAGGUUCAAGACAAUUGAGCACACGGCAUUGCGGGGAUUAC
rnacentral:other from 1 species